CGGGGUGAGUAAUGUCUGGGAAACUGCCUGAUGGAGGGGGGUAACUGCUGGAAACGGUAGCUAAUACCGCAUAACGUCGCAAGACCGAAGAGGGGGACCUUCGGGCCUCUUGCCAUCGGAUGUGCCCAGAUGGGAUUAGCUAGUAGGUGGGGUAACGGCUCACCUAGGCGACGAUCCCUAGCUGGUCUGAGAGGAUGACCAGCCACACUGGAACUGAGACACGGUCCAG
rnacentral:rRNA from 1 species